UGUUAUUGAGUACACAUUUCAAUUCGACUAAUCAUGUUUCCAAACACAAGCUGUAACAUUUCUUUUGUAACAGAGGCUGUAAACGUGGAUAUUGCAGUUUUCAAUUCAUCGAUGGAUUUUGGACGGUUUUUAUAGACAGUUGCUUUCGCUGCACCCCAGAAGAAAAAGUCAGGUGGUGUUAGGUCGGACGAUCGUGGAGGCUAAACUCCCUGUGAAAUUAUGCGAUCACCAAAGACUUCAGCCAGCAGUGACAUUUAAACGCGAGCUGUUUACGCGGUUGCAACAAUCUUGUUGAAAAUAGCCGUUCAGUAUUUCACUUAAAGCAAGUUCUCCUAUGAAUGGGUACAGAAUAUCACUGCAGUAUCGUUGAGCGUUUAUUGUUUCGUUGAAAAGUAUGGGACCCACAAUCCCACGUCUAGAAAUUGCAGUACAAUCUGCUAUUUUCCCAGAAUGAAGUGGUUCCUCAUUAAUACACAUUGGAUUUGCAGUACUACACAUUCGAGAAUUUUGAGAGUUCAUGUACCAGAGUAAAUGAAACCACGCCUCAUCAGUUAAAAAAUGUUUCAUUAAGAAUAUUCCUCCCAUUUCGUUAAACGAAAUUUUUGAACCGUUGACAAUAAUGCAGUCUCUUCCAAUGAUGAGUAUUUUACAGUUCUUGGACUUUAUAUGGGAAAAGUUCUAAUUUUUCCUUGCAGCUGUGUGGGCGAGUUUUCUUACUGACUUGUUCGGAGUCAUGGAUAUUUUAUCGGAAAUAUCGAGCAGUUUAUCCUCAGAAAAACCCUAGGACGACCACAUCUCGGUGCAUAUGUCACUGAACCCAUACUUCGAAAUUUGUUAAUCAAAUCUCGCACAGUAUCGCGAUGUGGCAGUGAUGUCUCCGGGUAAACUGAAUUGAAUGUUUGAAGAACUGAAACUGAGUAUUUACCGCUAGCUUUGAACACUUGUUCGACUAAAAACACACGUUAUUCAUUUUACCAGUGACACAAACGAAACAAACGAAUGGAGGAGCUAAACUUAAACGUUCACGACUACACGUGACGACACACACCAUCGGUACUACUGACGCUCGCUAGGAUAAACGAAACAGUGGAAUGUUGGCAGAGUCCACUUGAAGGUAAGUAACCCAGGGAGGCCAACAAUCAUACGGCACGCACGGCUAACAAUCAUACGGCACUGCGGAGAGACUUUUUGAACACCCCAUAGUAUGUAAAGAUAUAGACAAUAAUUGUUGUACUUAAUGUAUUACCACCCCUAAAAAGUUGUAUCGUUUUUCAAAAAAACAUAAACCUCAAGAGUAACUCAGACACACACCUGCCCAGACAAAAAUGUUCUAAUAUCAUUUCUACAUUUAACAUAUCUGUAUCAUUUACCAAAACGGCGUAACGUUUUUGAUAAUGCUGGUGGAACGUAUGGUAUUUUCGCAU